UACGUAGGGUGCGAGCGUUAAUCGGAAUUACUGGGCGUAAAGCGUGCGCAGGCGGUUCGUGAUGUCUGAUGUGAAAGCCCCGGGCUCAACCUGGGAAUUGCAUUGGAAACUAGCGGGCUGGAGUGUGGCAGAGGGGGGUGGAAUUCCACGUGUAGCAGUGAAAUGCGUAGAGAUGCGGAGGAACACCGAUGGCGAAGGCAGCCCCCUGGGCCAACACUGACGCUCAGGCACGAAAGCGUGGGGAGCAAACAGG
rnacentral:rRNA from 1 species